AUCCAGCUGACGACUCUCAAAUAAGACGAAACGUGCUUCCUAGAU
rnacentral:hammerhead_ribozyme from 1 species